rnacentral:rRNA from 1 species
GUGGGGAAUUUUGGACAAUGGGCGCAAGCCUGAUCCAGCAAUGCCGCGUGCAGGAAGAAGGCCUUCGGGUUGUAAACUGCUUUUGUACGGAACGAAACGGUCCGGGUUAAUACCCUGGGCUAAUGACGGUACCGUAAGAAUAAGCACCGGCUAACUACGUGCCAGCAGCCGCGGUAAUACGUAGGGUGCAAGCGUUAAUCGGAAUUACUGGGCGUAAAGCGUGCGCAGGCGGUUUUGUAAGACAGGCGUGAAAUCCCCGGGCUCAACCUGGGGAUUGCGCUUGUGACGGCAAGGCUGGAGUGCGGCAGAGGGGGAUGGAAUUCCGCGUGUAGCAGUGAAAUGCGUAGAUAUGCGGAGGAACACCGAUGGCGAAGGCAAUCCCCUGGGCCUGCACUGACGCUCAUGCACGAAAGCGUGGGGAGCAAACAGGAUUAGAUACCCUUGUAGUCC